rnacentral:rRNA from 1 species
GACGAACGCUGGCGGCGCGCCUAACACAUGCAAGUCGAACGAGCGAGAGAGAGCUUGCUUUCUCGAGCGAGUGGCGAACGGGUGAGUAACGCGUGAGGAACCUGCCUUAAAGAGGGGGACAACAGUUGGAAACGACUGCUAAUACCGCAUAAGCCCACGGGUCGGCAUCGACCAGAGGGAAAAGGAGUGAUCCGCUUUGAGAUGGCCUCGCGUCCGAUUAGCUAGUUGGUGAGGUAACGGCCCACCAAGGCGACGAUCGGUAGCCGGACUGAGAGGUUGAACGGCCACAUUGGGACUGAGACACGGCCCAGACUCCUACGGGAGGCAGCAGUGGGGAAUAUUGCACAAUGGGGGAAACCCUGAUGCAGCGACGCCGCGUGGAGGAAG